GCCUGCCCAGUGACCAUGAGUUCAACGGCCGCGGUAUUCUGACCGCGCGAAGGUAGCGUAAUCACUUGUCUUCUAAAUAAAGACUAGUAUGAACGGCCACACGAGGACUUAACUGUCUCCCCUGUCCAAUCAGUGAAACUGAUCUCCUCGUGCAGAAGCGAGGAUAAUCCCAUAAGACGAGAAGACCCUAUGGAGCUUCAAACUUACUAUCAACGACCCUUUAAUUUCCUCUAAGGAGCCAACAAAUUUCUCAACUUGAUAUAAGUUUUAGGUUGGGGCGACCAUGGAGAAAAAAAUAACCUCCCUGAUGACUUUCUAACCGAGAGCCACAGCUCAAAGUAUUAAGACCCUUAACUUCCAUUGACCCACUUUGUGAUCAACGAACCAAGUUACCCUAGGGAUAACAGCGCAAUCCGUUUCAAGAGUCCCUAUCGACAAAUGGGUUUACGACCUCGAUGUUGGAUCAGGGCAUCCUAGUGGUGCAACCGCUACUAAUGGUUCGUUUGUUCAACGAUUAAAGCCCU
rnacentral:rRNA from 1 species